GAGUUUGAUCAUGGCUCAGGAUGAACGCUGGCGGCGUGCCUAAUACAUGCAAGUCGAGCGAACGGACGAGAAGCUUGCUUCUCUGAUGUUAGCGGCGGACGGGUGAGUAACACGUGGAUAACCUACCUAUAAGACUGGGAUAACUUCGGGAAACCGGAGCUAAUACCGGAUAAUAUUUUGAACCGCAUGGUUCAAAAGUGAAAGACGGUCUUGCUGUCACUUAUAGAUGGAUCCGCGCUGCAUUAGCUAGUUGGUAAGGUAACGGCUUACCAAGGCAACGAUGCAUAGCCGACCUGAGAGGGUGAUCGGCCACACUGGAACUGAGACACGGUCCAGACUCCUACGGGAGGCAGCAGUAGGGAAUCUUCCGCAAUGGGCGAAAGCCUGACGGAGCAACGCCGCGUGAGUGAUGAAGGUCUUCGGAUCGUAAACUCUGUUAUUAGGGAAGAACAUAUGUGUAAGUAACUGUGCACAUCUUGACGGUACCUAAUCAGAAAGCACGGCUAACUACG
rnacentral:rRNA from 1 species